GUCUGUGGCCCUAAAACCCUGAAUGCACCCUAUCUCAUCUGGUCUUGAAAGCUAAGCAGAGUUGGGCCUGGUUAGUACUUGGAUGGAAGACAAAUCUUCAGAAGAAACUGCUCAAACA
rnacentral:rRNA from 1 species